GAUGAAGAACGUAGCGAAAUGCGAUACUUGGUGUGAAUUGCAGAAUCCCGUGAACCAUCGAGUCUUUGAACGCAAGUUGCGCCCGAAGCCAUUAGGCCGAGGGCACGCCUGCCUGGGCGUCACACGUCGUUGCCCCCCCAUCUACUCCUUCGGGAUUGCGGGGGGCGGAUGAUGGCCUCCCGUGCGCCUCGUCGCGCGGUUGGCAUAAAUACCAAGUCCUCGGCGACGCACGCCACGACAAUCGGUGGUUGCGAAACCUCGGUUGCCCGUCGUGUGCGGUCGUCGCGCAUCGAGGGCUCGAAAAAAUUGCCGGGCUCCGGCUCGGCUUUCAACGCGACCCCAGGUCAGGCGGGGUUACCCGCUGAAUUUAAGCAUAUUAAUAAGCGGAGGA
rnacentral:misc_RNA from 1 species